UUUAUAAAAUACAAAAACAUCCCAUUUCUUCAAAAAGUUUGCAAUUAGAGGUGUAACCUUGUGCAAAGUACCUAAUCUUUCUAUACCUCAGUUUCCCCUCCUGUGCAAUGAAGAUUAUAAUAGUACUUUCUUUAAGGGAGUUUUUGGGAGGAUUAAAUGUGCUUUUAAUUAGUACUCAAUAAAUGUUAGCUAAUAUUAUUAACAUUAUUAUUUGGAAAACACUGAACAAGAACAUCUCUUAGUCCCUCCCUGUGAUGACCUGGGUCCUGCAUUGUCUUCCUUGUGUCCUGUGUUUCUUUUUGCUUUAUGGCAUCAGACUCCUUGAUUCCCUUCUCAUGUUUCAUAUAUACUCAGUCCUUGGGCUCCUGCUUCCCCAUACCUUUGUGGGCUACUUCUCAUACACUGGGAUGGGGACCAAUGGGGCUUGGAUAUCGCAUGUGUGCCUUCUCUCAGCCUGUGCAGGUAGUUGAUUUUCCUUUCCUCCUCAACCCACAGUCUCAUCAGCUGGAACACUGUCCUCAGCCUUGGAAUAGUCAACUUGCUCACUGCUGUCACAUAUGGUGGUGACCCAUAGGGUCUGUCGUGUUGCUGCUACUGAUGAUGACGAUAAUGAUGAUGAUCUCUUUUGACUCAUUUUUCAGGUGAGAUUAACACUAUUGAAUACUUCCUCUGAGACAGACAUUGUGUUAGGCACUCAGCAGGCCUAUUCACAUUUUCUUCAAACAAUUAGUGUGUCAAAAAAUAGGGGUGUCUGGGUGCCUCAGUUAAACAUCCAACUCUUGAUUUCGGCUCAGGUCAUAAUCUCAGGGUUGUGAGACUGAGCCCAGUGUCAGGCUCUGCAUUGGGCCUGAAGCCUGUUUAAGAUUCUUUUUCUUCCUCUGUCCCUUCCACUCCCCUUCCCCCCACUGGCAUGCGUGCUCUUCUCUCUCUCUCUCU
rnacentral:lncRNA from 1 species